rnacentral:lncRNA from 1 species
CCAGGGAGGAGUCAAUGAUAUUAAAAUAACUGUUAUCAUUACAGGCUGCUUAAGUCCGUUUUGAAUUUGGAGUAGGGAAAAAAGGACUACUGUACUUUGCUCUUUAUAUUUUUUGUUUAAUUUCACAACAAUCCCAUGACGCUUCCCCGUUUUACAGAGGGAAAGACUGAGGUUCAGUGAGCAUGAAUGUAUACAUGGAAGAGCUCUGAACUGUUGUUCUGAUUCUGAAGUCCACACCACAUCUGGUCCAGCCUGCCGUUCAGGAAAAAGGAAUAACUACCAAACCGGACCUGCCGUUCAGGAAAAAGGAAUCCACAUCUGGUCCAGCCUGCCGUUCAGGAAAAAGGAAUAACUACCAAACCGGAAACUCUCUGGCAGAAAGAAAAGUACGACCACUGGAUAAGAUUCCACGCUCCCAAUGCAGGGAGCCCAGGUCCAAUCCCUAGUUGGGGAACUAGGUCACAUAUGCCGUACUGAAGAUCCUGCUGCAGCAACUGAGACUUGGUGCGGUCAAAAAAAAUUUUUUUUGAAAAAUAGAAUGGAAAUGAAACUAUUAAAAAUAUAAAAGAAGAAGAAGAAAAGAAAAUUAAGACUGUUUAUUGACUACCUACUAUAUUCCAGGCACUGUACUGGGCGAAUUUUCCAAAGUUUCAUUUGUAUAAAACCAUUUCAGGAUAGAUUAUGAUUUUUUUAUAUAAAUGAGAAGAUGGAGGCUCAGAAAAAUAAAGUAAAGAUAGCCCCUCAGCUGAGGGACUGAGGCAGAAUAUGAACUCAGGUUGCCUUGCUCUUAAAUUUUGUGUGUUCUUCCCCUCCAGGGCCCAGGAAGAACAGGAAUGCUGGAGUAAAUUACAUGGGUCGACGUCUUGGAGGCGAAGGCAUUCUGGCGCAGUGAAGAAACAAUACAGGACUGACCAGGGAAGCCUAUUUCCUGACCUCCAGCAAGAAGUCCGCCCGGGAGCCUCUCAAGAUGAGAUCAAAGCUUUGUCUUAGCAGCCAGACCAGAGGACAUCCAUGCUGGGUUCAAGGCAUUCUGGUCCUCACUGUGCUCAGAGUCACAUUAAAGAGCCAACCCCACAGUUUUUAGUGAAACCUGAUGAAUUUGACAUGUAUGAUUAGCUAAUGUGAGGAAUUAUUAUUGUCCCAUUGAUAUGAUAAUUUGCCUAUGAAACUUCAAAAUUAUAAACAAUGGUUUUCUGGGGAAAGCCUCUUGAAGUGUGAAUGGUAAAUGUUUACUGUAAAAAACAAACACAAAAAACCCCCCAAAAAACCUGGAUCUGGNNNNNNNNNNNNNNUCUGAAAAGAGUGCCCUGGUGAAUAAAAUGAAAACCAUGUGCA